rnacentral:misc_RNA from 1 species
GCAGAGUUUGUUCUUUUGAAUAAAUUAACUUCUUUUUCAUGAGGAGAUGCAUACAAAUGAACCGAUCAGGUGCUAAAGCUAGCCAUCUUAUAUCUAACCAGAAGAACUCGAUCUACAUUUCCAAAACCUAGCCAACUGAGCUUCAACCAUCUAAUCUAAACACUUGCAUAUAGUUAUUUUUGUUGAUCUCUACACAGUUAAAUACCCGAAUCCAAGAGACAGAGGGCUAUCUAUAAUAACACAGAAAUAUGCAAUUGCAUCAACAAACUCCGUUCAAAAAUAAAGCUUCCGCUGCCCAAGUUUCUAUCUUCGGAGUAUUGCAGCACUUCAAGCCACGUAGAAUGGAUAAUGGCAGGCAUAUUGGAAUAGGCAAAGGUAUACUUUUAACACAAUCUUUGAUCAUGCGUACACGUAGGUAUGAUCCCAGGCUCAAAAAAAUAAGGGUCAUUGUUAAUGAAUUACAGAAUCACCAUAUAAAUUAAGUGGCUAGAUUUAGGGAUGAGAAUGAAAAUUCUAAAACGUUGCAGCCACAUCCCUAUCAAUCUGCCUUAAAUCCAAUCCCUACUUCAACCGUUAAGCAUGUUAUGGUUCCAGUAAACAAGACAUCUAAUCUGCACUUUUUUUUGUAUUGUCCAUAUACAUUACAGGCAUAAAAUUCAGGCUCAUAAUCCUUUACUCCAAAAAGAAAAUGUAUGGCAUGAACCACAUCAACCCAGCAUUACUUGAAAUCCUUGAAGAUCAAUAAUGGAGCUUGUCAUUUUCAGGCGCGAUUGUCAUUGACAUGGCUUGGUACUUCUGCUCGACUGUCCAGCGGCAUGUAUUGUGCCAUGAUAGCUCUGAUUUCAGAAUCCAUGUAAGACCUCAAUCUAUAUUUGUAGACGAGGUAUCCUCCACCAGCAGCCAUUCCUAAGCCUAUCAAAAUGACCCAGAAAGCAGCCCAUGCUGACCUCACUUCAGUGCCUCUCUUACUUAUGCAGGUAUCAUGGUCUCUCAUAUAAAGAAGAUCUCCACUGCAAGUGCAAUCAUAGCUACCCCACGUAUUUUUGCAGCUACAUUCAGCACACUGACAGGCUUUCUUCUCUUUGCAUUCAUCAAUAUCUGCAUGGUCAAUAAGAAGUGACAAAAUAAUAUCAAUUAAGAUUGUUGACAGGCUUGCAGUCUCUCUUUGACGUGACUUCAACUGCAAUCCAGGUGCAAAACAAAAUUGUUUUGACAUAACAAAAGCUCACUAUUGAAAGCAUUGGAAACCAAAUCAAUGCAGUUGGAGCAUCCUGAUUCUCCAAACAUAAUUAGGUUUUUUCAAAGUGAAACAAUGGCCUUGUACUGAAAUUUUGCUUAAAUGUAUGAAUAUAAAACUACUGAUAACUGCACAAUUGAACAACUAAAGAUUUCUGAAGUUAUACUGCAACAGAACUGUUCAUUUAAGCCUAGUAUCACUGAAGCCUGCAGUAUGCUAUGCAAGUCAGCAAGGACAACCUUGCAAGGCCAACAACUACUCUUAGGUAAUAAUAACCAAGAACUACCAUAAGAGGCAAAAAGAGCCCCACUGGGAAGUGAAAUAGACAUCAGAAAAAAGUCUGAAAUUUAUCAUCUAUUACAACAUAAUGACUUGCUCUUUCCAAGCCUUAUGCCUCAGACACCAUACUCUUGCACAUUGAAUUAUUGUUUCAGAAUCCACGUAAAAGUAAUUGAUAAGAAGUACAAACGUAAGCAUCUGUUACCUUCACAACUUUUCACACCAUCACCUUUAAAUCCAACAGGACACUGGCAUUUACCACCAUCAAUAUCCGAACAAGCAGAGAAGGUGUGUCCAUUUCGAGAUUCAUGCCAACAGCCUCCAUUAUUAAGCUUGCACCUCCCUGGUCCACUCACUUCACAGUGACUGUAACCAUCUCCUUUGAACUGAACACCAUCAACCAAAGGGCAUUCACACACCCUCCCACGAAAUGUAUCCUUGCAAGCUGUAAUGUUGGCUGUUUUAUCUUGCCAGCAACCCCCAUUAUUGUCCAUGCACUCAUUAGUCUCAACAUCAUCACUCAAACAAACACCUGGCUCAGUGGUUUCUUCAAAACCAGAACAUAUAGCUUUCAGAACAGCACCUUUCUCCAACUUUCCUCGAUAUUGUCGAUUGUUGACAACAAGGGUGGGCAAUAUGGUUACAUCACCCCUUGAUCCUUUCCCAACCUGGGCAUCUUGUUCUUCUUUCAAAACAGGAUUCUCAGAAUCAGCAUUUGGGUCUCCCAUACAUUUCUCAACCUUUUUAACAUCAAGCCCCAGGGUUCUGAUAACAGCAUCCGCACAUUCUUUGUUGUAUCUCUUCUCCUUCAUGGGACAUCUGAUUUGGAAAUCAGUUACAUAGUCCCACCACACCCAAGGUCUUUUGCUCUCAUUUGCCACUCUAAAAACACAGAGUUGCCUAAGAUUUUCAAGAACAACAUCUUUCCCCUCAUAACCUGUGCUGAAAUCCUGUUCAGGAUCAGGAGCACAAUAUCUGCCACGAUUUAUGCACUGGGACUUGCACUGCCUACUCAAGGUGAAUGCCUGAGGACAGUACCAGGUUAUAUAAUGAGGUGUGAACUGGGUGUAACCACCUUUCUCAAGUAUCUGUGCUGGACCUCUAAAAUCCUUCACAAAUUCCAUCAGCAUAUCACAUUUUACCCCACAUUCAUCAUUGCUGUUGGUCCAUAAUUCAUACUCUACACGAUCAUCAGGGUGUGGAACAGCUUCUCUCCAAUCAAGAUUCACAUUUACCAUAUCUCCAUUGCUUAUUGCUUUCUUUAAUGUCUCACCAAAGCUUUUCUCGAUAAGUGCAGAUGGUAUGGUUAUGUUCUCGAUAUAUUGUGCAGAAGAACCAUCCUCUUGAGGUGAAUCCAUCGUUAUUAACGGUUCCUCAAUGUCAUCUGCAACAAGUACUGCAGAAGCCCCUGCCUUUUGGGCAUUCCAAACUUUCAAAGCAAAGAAGCAGUCUCCACGAUCGACUAAGACGAAAGUCGGUAAAGCUCCGGGCUUAGACUUGAACGAAAUCCCAAAAUCAUCAAACUCCUUACAGCCUUUCCUGUUGUCUUUUGGAUAAGCCACAGCCCCAGCCAUACUACCCCCAUAUUGUGGUAUCCCAAAAUUCCCUAUUGCACUAUCAUGCGUCCCCCUUAUUUUAUCCGGCGAAGUCACCCUCAAGUUGUUCUUCUCCACCACAAAUCUCGCUAGAGAAUUAGGAACCAUCAACUUCACAAACAAAAACCCUAGACAGAGACUAAAUCCUAGUCUUCUGAGCUCCAUCUCGUCCCAAAACGAUUUCAACCAAAAAAAAAAUUCUGGGUUUUGCUUUUGGGGAUCAAUCGAUUGACCUCAAAAAAUAAAAUUGGUGCCCAGCAAACAUAAUAAUCAUAAAAAAAAAAAGAAGAAAAAACAAACUUCAAAAGGUCAUUUCUGUCGUUAGCUUACAGAUUUAGGGGGUUUUGGAAACAAAAUCAAAGAUUUGCGUUGUAUUGAUAGCUUUUUCUUGGUGAGUUGAAGAAAUCUUGCGUGCGAGAUUUAUCGUGGUACAUGGGCAAAUGGGUAUGGUUCUGUUCCUUCGUUUUUCAGCUGCGUGGGCGUGACGAGUGCUAGUAUAGCCGUCCCUGUUGUUUUGCCUUGCUUUCGCUAUUUCAGUCUGUCUAGACAAAGGUCACACACAUCAAC